rfam:Orientia tsutsugamushi Boryong complete genome
AAUGUUGUUCUACCAACAGAAGCUUGCUGGUAUAUGCAAUGAAGUGAUUUUAUAUAUGAAGCUAUCAGGACAGCCAGGCUUGAAAUUGAAUCAGAAUCGUGAGAGAGAGAUUAUACUACUAGUAUAGCAA